AGUGAACGCUGGCGGCAGGCCUAACACAUGCGAGUCGAACGGCAGCACAAGAGAGCUUGCUCUCUGGGUGGCGAGUGGCGGACGGGUGAGGAAUGCAUCGGAAUCUGCCCAUUUGUGGGGGAUAACCUCGGGAAACCGGGACUAAUACCGCAUACGACCUACGGGUGAAAGCAGGGGAUCUUCGGACCUUGCGCAGAUGGAUGAGCCGAUGCCGGAUUAGCUAGUUGGAGGGGUAAAGGCCCACCAAGGCGACGAUCCGUAGCUGGUCUGAGAGGAUGAUCAGCCACACUGGGACUGAGACACGGCCCAGACUCCUACGGGAGGCAGCAGUGGGGAAUAUUGGACAAUGGGCGCAAGCCUGAUCCAGCCAUGCCGCGUGUGUGAAGAAGGCCUUCGGGUUGUAAAGCACUUUUGUUGGGAAAGAAAAGCAGCCGGUUAAUACCCGGUUGUCAUGACGGUACCCAAAGAAUAAGCACCGGCUAACUUCGUG
rnacentral:rRNA from 1 species